rnacentral:rRNA from 1 species
AACGAACGCUGGCGGCAGGCCUAACACAUGCAAGUCGAACGGUUCCUUCGGGGACAGUGGCAGACGGGUGAGUAACGCGUGGGAAUCUACCUUGUGGUACGGAACAACCAAGGGAAGCUUUGGCUAAUACCGUAUGAGCCCUUCGGGGGAAAGAUUUAUCGCCAUAAGAUGAGCCCGCGUAGGAUUAGCUAGUUGGUGAGGUAAAGGCUCACCAAGGCGACGAUCCUUAGCUGGUCUGAGAGGAUGACCAGCCACACUGGGACUGAGACACGGCCCAGACUCCUACGGGAGGCAGCAGUGGGGAAUAUUGGACAAUGGGCGCAAGCCUGAUCCAGCCAUGCCGCGUGUGUGAUGACGGCCUUAGGGUUGUAAAGCACUUUCGCCGAUGAAGAUAAUGACUGUAGUCGGAGAAGAAGCCCCGGCUAACUUCGUGCCAGCCGCCGCCGUAAAAC